GACGAACGCUGGCGGCGCGCUUAACACAUGCAAGUCGAACGGAAAGGCCUGCUUUCCCUUGUGGAUUGCGGGUACUCGAGUGGCGAACGGGUGAGUAACACGUGAGUGAUCUGCCCCCAACUUGGGUAUAAGCCUGGGAAACUGGGUCUAAUUCCCGAUAGGACUGCAGGGUGGUGCCUGUGGUGGAAAACGAUUUUCUAGUGGUUGGGGAUGAGCUCGCGGCCUAUCAGCUUGUUGGUGGGGUAAUGGCCUACCAAGGCGGCGACGGGUAGCCGGCCUGAGGGUGUGGACGGCCACAUUGGGACUGAGAUACGGCCCAGACUCCUACGUGAGGCAGCAGUGGGGAAUAGUGCACAAUGGGCGGAAGCCUGAUGCAGCGACGCAGCGUGGGUGAUGACGGCCUUCGGGUUGUAAACUCCUUUCGACCGCGAGGAAGCCACCUGGUUGGAAGGGUGGUGACGGUAGUGGUAGAAGAAGCACCGGCUAACUACGUG
rnacentral:rRNA from 1 species